AGAGUUUGAUCCUGGCUCAGACGACGCUGGCGGCGUGCUUAACACAUGCAAGUCGAACGAUGAAGCCCUUCGGGGUGGAUUAGUGGCGAACGGGUGAGUAACACGUGGGCAAUCUGCCCUUCACUCUGGGACAAGCCCUGGAAACGGGGUCUAAUACCGGAUAACACUCCUGCCUGCAUGGGCGGGGGUUAAAAGCUCCGGCGGUGAAGGAUGAGCCCGCGGCCUAUCAGCUUGUUGGUGGGGUAAUGGCCCACCAAGGCGACGACGGGUAGCCGGCCUGAGAGGGCGACCGGCCACACUGGGACUGAGACACGGCCCAGACUCCUACGGGAGGCAGCAGUGGGGAAUAUUGCACAAUGGGCGAAAGCCUGAUGCAGCGACGCCGCGUGAGGGAUGACGGCCUUCGGGUUGUAAACCUCUUUCAGCAGGGAAGAAGCGAAAGUGACGGUACCUGCAGAAGAAGCGCCGGCUAACUACGUGCCAGCAGCCGCGGUAAUACGUAGGGCGCAAGCGUUGUCCGGAAUUAUUGGGCGUAAAGAGCUCGUAGGCGGCUUGUCACGUCGGAUGUGAAAGCCCGAGGCUUAACCUCGGGUCUGCAUUCGAUACGGGCUAGCUAGAGUGUGGUAGGGGAGAUCGGAAUUCCUGGUGUAGCGGUGAAAUGCGCAGAUAUCAGGAGGAACACCGGUGGCGAAGGCGGAUCUCUGGGCCAUUACUGACGCUGAGGAGCGAAAGCGUGGGGAGCGAACAGGAUUAGAUACCCUGGUAGUCCACGCCGUAAACGUUGGGAACUAGGUGUUGGCGACAUUCCACGUCGUCGGUGCCGCAGCUAACGCAUUAAGUCCCCGCCUGGGGAGUACGGCCGCAAGGCUAAAACUCAAAGGAAUUGACGG
rnacentral:rRNA from 1 species